rnacentral:rRNA from 1 species
UAAACGACUCUCGGCAACGGAUAUCUCGGCUCUCGCAUCGAUGAAGAACGUAGCGAAAUGCGAUACUUGGUGUGAAUUGCAGAAUCCCGUGAACCAUCGAGUCUUUGAACGCAAGUUGCGCCCAAAGCCUUCGGGUUGAGGGCACGUCUGCCUGGGUGUCACAC